AUUGAACGCUGGCGGCAGGCUUAACACAUGCAAGUCGAGCGAGCGGCGGACGGGUGAGUAAUGUCUGGGAAACUGCCUGAUGGAGGGGGAUAACUACUGGAAACGGUAGCUAAUACCGCAUACCAUCAGAUGUGCCCAGAUGGGAUUAGCUCGUAGGUGGGGUAAUGGCUCACCUAGGCGACUAUCCCUAGCUGGUCUGUGAGUGUGACCAGCCACACUGGAACGUGGCCACGGUCCAUGCGCCUACGGGAGGCAGCAGUGGGGAAUAUUGCACAAUGGGCGCAAGCCGUAUGCAGCGAUGCCGCGUGUGUGAAGAAGGCCUUCUGGUUGUAAAGCACUUUCAGCGAGGAUGCGUUACUCGCAGAAGAAGCACCGGCUAACUCCGUGCCAGCAGCCGCGGUAAUUC
rnacentral:rRNA from 1 species